AACGAACGCUGGCGGCAUGCCUAACACAUGCAAGUCGAACGAACCCUUCGGGGUUAGUGGCGCACGGGUGCGUAACGCGUGGGAAUCUACCCUUUGCUUCGGAAUAACAGUUAGAAAUGACUGCUAAUACCGGAUGAUGUCUUCGGACCAAAGAUUUAUCGGCAAGGGAUGAGCCCGCGUAGGAUUAGGUAGUUGGUGGGGUAAAGGCCUACCAAGCCGACGAUCCUUAGCUGGUCUGAGAGGAUGAUCGGCCACACUGGGACUGAGACACGGCCCAGACUCCUACGGGAGGCAGCAGUGGGGAAUAUUGGACAAUGGGCGCAAGCCUGAUCCAGCAAUGCCGCGUGAGUGAUGAAGGCCUUCGGGUCGUAAAGCUCUUUUACCAGGGAUGACAAUGACAGUACCUGGAGAAUAAGCUCCGGCUAACUCCGUGCCAGCAGCCGCCGUAAUAC
rnacentral:rRNA from 1 species